UACGGGGGGAGCAAGCGUUGUUCGGAUUUACUGGGCGUAAAGGGCGCGUAGGCGGUCAGUGCAAGUCAGUUGUGAAAUCUCCGGGCUUAACUCGGAAAGGUCAACUGAUACUGCUCGACUAGAGUGCGGAAGGGGCAACUGGAACAAGCGGUGGAGCGGUGAAAUGCGUAGAUAUCGCUUGGAACGCCAACGGUGAAAACAGGUUGCUGGGGGUGUGCUGACGCUGAGACACGAAAGCCAGGGGAGCGAACGGG
rnacentral:rRNA from 1 species